rnacentral:tRNA from 1 species
GCCUGGCUGGCUCAGUCGGUAGAGCAUGAGACUCUUGAUCUUGGGGUUAUAGGUUUGAACCCCCAUGUUAGGUG